GACGAACGCUGGCGGCGUGCUUAACACAUGCAAGUCGAGCGGUAAGGCCCCUUCGGGGGUACACGAGUGGCAGACGGGUGCGUAACACGUAGAUGAUGUGCACUGCCCUUCGAGAUAGGCAUGGGUAACUGAGUCUGGUACCAGUAAGGGCCACGCUAUGCAUGGGGAGGGGUGGAAAGCGUGUGCGGUGUUGGAUGGUACCGCGGCCUAUGUGCUUGUUGGUGGGGUUAGGGGCUACGAUGGCGACGUCGGGUAGCCGGCCUGCGAGGGUGUCCGGCGACACGGGGACUGAGAUACGGCCCAGACGCCUACGGGAGGCAGCAGGGGGGAACAUUGCAGAAUGGGCGCAAGCGUGAGGCAGCGACGCCGCGUGGGGGAUGACGGCCUUCGGGUUGUAAACCUCUUUCAGUACAGACGAAGCGCAAUUGACGGUAGGUACAGAAGAAGCACCGGCUAACUACGUG
rnacentral:rRNA from 1 species